UCCUACGGGAGGCAGCAGUGGGGAAUAUUGGGCAAUGGAGGCAACUCUGACCCAGCAACGCCGCGUGAAUGAUGAAGGUCUUCGGAUUGUAAAGUUCUGUGAUGGGGGAUGAACACAAUGACGGUACCCCAAUAGCAAGCCACGGCUAACUACGUGCCAGCAGCCGCGGUAAUACGUAGGUGGCGAGCGUUAUCCGGAAUGAUUGGGCGUAAAGGGUGCGCAGGCGGUCCUGCAAGUCUGGAGUGAAACGCAUGAGCUCAACUCAUGCAUGGCUUUGGAAACUGGAGGACUGGAGAGCAGGGGAG
rnacentral:rRNA from 1 species